AACGCGAAGAACCUUACCUACCCUUGACAUGGUCGGAAUCCUGCUGAGAGGUGGGAGUGCUCGAAAGAGAACCGGCGCACAGGUGCUGCAUGGCUGUCGUCAGCUCGUGUCGUGAGAUGUUGGGUUAAGUCCCGCAACGAGCGCAACCCUUGUCCUUAGUUGCUACGCAAGAGCACUCUAAGGAGACUGCCGGUGACAAACCGGAGGAAGGUGAGGAUGACGUCAAGUCCUCAUGGCCCUUAUGGGUAGGGCUUCACACGUCAUACAAUGGUCGGAACAGAGGGUUGCCAACCCGCGAGGGGGAGCUAAUCCCAGAAAACCGAUCGUAGUCCGGAUUGCACUCUGCAACUCGAGUGCAUGAAGCUGGAAUCGCUAGUAAUCGCGAUCAGCAUGC
rnacentral:rRNA from 1 species